UUUAAUACUAUGAUGAGGAAGAGUAGUUAAAUCCCUUAGCUAUAGAGAGCCGGUGAUGGUGGAAAUCCGGUGCUAACAUUUAACGAAGACACCUCGGAGUAGGUAGAUGAACUAGAAAGUCUACUCGUUAGUCAGCGUUAAUGACACCUAAGUGGGAUUUUUAUAUCCAAAUAGGGUGGCACCGCGGGAAUAUUGCCUCUCGUCCCUGUC
rnacentral:ncRNA from 1 species